rnacentral:lncRNA from 1 species
AAAGUUUCCAUAUUAUAGGCAAACAGACAAAUGCCCUUGAGCUGAAAGGAAGACCUUGCUUGACUCAGAAAACUAAUGUCAUUUUUCUGAUGUUGUUAUUGAAAGUAAUGUUAUGCUUCUGUGUGUCUGAACAUGACAGCAGUUACAGCAUGGCAUCUCCAGAGGGCUGUCGGAUACCAGAAUCUCACUUCUGGUUCAAGAAGUCUCUGAUUCAUGGACUGCUGCAGGAGAGGAUUCUGAGGAAGUAUCACAAUGUGCUUACCCUGAUCUAGCCCAUCGUUCAGUGCUGGAGGAUACUGGGAUGGAUCUGUGGUCUCACCUGGUACAGUUCCAUACACACAAUGUAUGUACAUCUUCAUUCCUCAUGCCUUUUUUUGGACCUCACUUACUGAAUUUCUCAUUAUGGAACUCAGAGUCGCUUAUGGGAAGGACAGUUUUCUUCUCAUAUUCUUCUUCUGCUGGAAAUCUCUUUGAUUCCAUCUGUCAUUUCUGUUGUGACUGCCAUGUUCAGAAGCAUUAUAUGACAGUAGCUCCAACAUACUUCUGGUGCUAAGAAAGGUAGGUGACCUAAUGGGAGCUCUAUUUUUUUUGCUUUAAAGGUCGUGUCUCCUUACUUCCUAUAAUGAACACUCCAGGAUGGGGUUUCCUCCAAAUUAGAACAGGGGCUGCUGUGGGGCUGACCUGGGAGCUUGCUUGGAGAGCAGAACAGCAGUGCCUCUGGAGAAUGCCUCUGGAGAAUGCCUCUGUGGAAAGGGCUGGGAAUUAUGGAGAAUCGAGAGUGGAGUGCUACAGCUGCAUAGACCUGUGCUUUCUUCCUUAUUUGCAGAGCUCCCUUGGGAAGUUGAGGUGAUAGGAGAUUAGCAAGCUACUCUGUACUUACACUGUAAAUAACCACUUUCUUCCAGUGGAGGGACUGCACUAGUUUAUUUAAUUCAUAUAAAAAUAG